rnacentral:rRNA from 1 species
GACGAACGCUGGCGGCGUGCCUAAUACAUGCAAGUUGAGCGCUGAAGGUUGGUACUUGUACCAACUGGAUGAGCAGCGAACGGGUGAGUAACGCGUGGGGAAUCUGCCUUUGAGCGGGGGACAACAUUUGGAAACGAAUGCUAAUACCGCAUAAAAACUUUAAACGCAAGUUUUAAGUUUGAAAGAUGCAUUUGCAUCACUCAAAGAUGAUCCCGCGUUUUAUUAGCUAGUUGGUUAGGUAAAGGCUCACCAAGGCGAUGAUACAUAGCCGAACUGAGAGGGUGAUCGGCCACAUUGGGACGGAGACACGGCCCAAGCUCCUACGGGAGGCAGCAGUAGGGAAUCUUCGGCAAUGGACGAAAGUCUGACCGAGCAACGCCGCGUGAGUGAAGAAGGUUUUCGGAUCGUAAAACUCUGUUGGUAGAGAAGAACGUUGGUGAGAGUGGAAAGCUCAUCAAGUGACGGUAACUACCCAGAAGGGGACGGCUAACUACGUG